CCUACGGGCGGCAGCAGUGGGGAAUAUUGGACAAUGGGCGAAAGCCUGAUCCAGCCAUGCCGCGUGUGUGAAGAAGGCCUUCGGGUUGUAAAGCACUUUCAGUGGGGAAGAAAGCCUUGGGGCUAAUACCCUCGAGGAAGGACAUCACCCACAGAAGAAGCACCGGCUAACUCCGUGCCAGCAGCCGCGGUAAUACGGAGGGUGCGAGCGUUAAUCGGAAUUACUGGGCGUAAAGCGCGCGUAGGCGGUCUGAUAAGCCGGUUGUGAAAGCCCCGGGCGCAACCUGGGAACGGCAUCCGGAACUGUCAGGCUAGAGUGCAGGAGAGGAAGGUAGAAUUCCCGGUGUAGCGGUGAAAUGCGUAGAGAUCGGGAGGAAUACCAGUGGCGAAGGCGGCCUUCUGGACUGACACUGACGCUGAGGUGCGAAAGCGUGGGUAGCAAACAGGAUUAGAUACCCUUGUAGUC
rnacentral:rRNA from 1 species